GUUUAAGCUCUUUGGGGAACAUGUGGGGAGAAGCAGUAUUUGGGAGAAGAUUUCCAUGCUGUUUCCAACCCUUACUUAACCCUUUCUGCAACAUAGCUCAAGCCAAAUCUAAAUUGAAAAUUUAUGAAAAUGUGUGGUGCUUACUGGAAUUCUAAAUCCAGCCCCUUGAAAGGUAGCCAACUGGUGUAUGCCCCUCAGCCCCACAGGGACUUUGUAUAAAUCUAACAACUAAUUUUAAUUUAUCUUCAUCAGAUAUGGAAUGAGAGAGGCUAUAGUGUUGAUUAUAUAAAUAUGUAGGUCUCAGCUGGGGCUGCACAGCCACGGAAAAUACUGCAUUCCUAACUUAUCUUGGGACUUAUUAUAAAGCUGCCAUUAUCCAAGGACAUAUGAUUCUCUGGAGGCUUACAUCACUGGAAAAAGUCUUUGGGCCCCUGAAGAUUACAGUACAUGUAAUGCUGCAAAAGGAGGAGGAUGCUGGGCCAGGCACAUACAACUCAAUUUACUUCUAUUGGCUGGAAAUAUUUAAAGCAUGACAGUGGCGUAGGUAAAUUACCAAAUAGUGGAUCUUAUGUUGGAUUGAUCAGCCCUGAUAAACUGACCUGACCAUUGUAAUUGAAACCAUAACUCAUGACCACUCUAUCUGUAUAGGUCCUGGUAUACCCUGGGAUAAUGUUCACCCACAACUUUUAACUUGAAAUCUUAAAGGAAGUUUUGCUAAACUAACAAGCAUGAAUGUCUGGUACAGUAAGAUAGGGUUAAUGGUCAACCUGACAUCAUGGUUCAUUCAUUGGGACAGCUAAUGUUUGUGUCUGGCUUGAUGAAGUCUACAAACUGACCACUAUAUCUACUGGAAAAAAAGGAUCAUAUUCUGACCCCGUCCCUCCCAACCAUUUCCUCUGCCUCAUCUUGAUGACUUUGAAGGGUACAAAUGCACUUGGAGCUUUUGAUGGUGUUCUGUUCAAUGCAACUAUUCCCACAUCUCCAGCAGCUGGCUUUGCAGCUAUUGGCGCAGACAGCUAUGGUUUGGAUGAUUUUGAUAAUUAUCUGCUUUCGCUCUUCAAAACUCAAACGCACGUCUGGCAUGUUGCAGUUAAUUCCUUGGCACUCUGGUGCUGUGUGUGGUACAGAACCACCUUCACAUUUAUUUUUCUAAUUAGACAUUAAGCUUUCCAUGUGCUGAAAUUUAGCAUUGUACAGACCUGCCUACCGUUACGCAAAAUGCGUAUUCGUUACGCAAAAUCUCCCAAAAAUGACCGUCAGUACGCAAAUACGCAUUUAACCCGUCGCGUUACGCAUUUCGUAUCCUUUUUUUUUUUCACCCUCUCUAGACUAGCUUACAAGCGGUCACGGAGGUCACGCUAAGCCGUCCUGUUGGAGGGGGGGGGGGGCAGAAAAGUUGGGGGAACACAUUGUGUCCAGAUCUAUACGUGGAUUGGUUCUUAAAAGCAAUUAGAAUUAGUCUAGAAAUGAACGCGAGAGUGAGGGAGUGGCGGGUUGGUACCAGGUUGGUACCGUCAGUAAGCUGAUACACCAACGUGACUUUUUUUUUUGUAAGUUCAUUAGUAGAAAUUAAUUAUGUUGAAUCCCUGAUUCCCGUAUUCAUUUGUAUAGAAAAAAAUAUCAAAGUGCUAUCGAUUCAAAAAACACAUUGAGUGACAUUGUAGAUAUCUAGUCUAGAUCUAGAAUCUAGAUAACUUGUUAUACAGGAAUAGAUCUAGCUAGUCAUUACCGUACCAUGAUUACGAUUAUGUCAUGAUUCUCUACAUUACUCUACAAUCUAGAUCCAAUUUAGUUGUAGUAUGAUUUAGAUUG